AUCUAUGUACUUCAUUUUCCCUUUCUUUUUUAGUUUCAAUUGCUGUGCUUCUACAGCCCUUAGCAACACAAGUCUGCUUGUGCUAUGCUGAAAGCUCUCUCGGACACAGAGCGCUUCCUUCUCCGGUGCCACUGUCGCGAACAGAUGAUCAGAGGACUGAAUAGAGGAGAAAGACUUGGAUUAACUGGAGAAGGCCGUUGGGAAGAAGGCCUCAUUUGCCAAACAGAAAAUUAGCAGAAUAUGGAGUAAUGUCUUUGCAUGAGGGGCAGACUGGAAGGAACACAUUUUGGAAAAUGAAGAGGAUAAAGGAGGACAAGGAGGAAGAUCCCUAUUUUGCACCCCCUCCUUGUAUUGGGCCACAGAUCAAGUCAAUGGGACUGAAGAAGCUGCAAAAAGGGCCUAAAGGUAUUAUUCUUUCAUCACAGUUUUAUUUAGUAUCUAUUUGUCCUCUUGCUUUCUGGAGUGCAAUGAUUGACUUCAGCAGCUUCCCAGCAGAGCCACUGCAGUAGUGGAAUUCUGUUGCAGUUUAACUUGCAGAGAGGGAAGAUUAAUUUAUGAUCAAAGUUUAAAUGUUUUUAUUUUGCUACCAUAGUAUUUAACUUUUCAAAAAUGUAAUCCUUUGUGGUCAAAACACUUCAGCCCUAUUAUUAAAAAGGCUUCAUCACCUGGUGGAAUAUGCAUAUGAAAUUAAUUGCUUCCACAUUUUAACAAUAUCCUUGCAACAGAAAAAAAAGUACUGUUUAUAAGAUGGUGUC